AGUGAACGCUGGCGGUAGGCCUAACACAUGCAAGUCGAACGGCAGCACAGUAAGAGCUUGCUCUUACGGGUGGCGAGUGGCGGAUGGGUGAGGAAUACAUCGGAAUCUACUUUUUCGUGGGGGAUAACGUAGGGAAACUUACGCUAAUACCGCAUACGACCUACGGGUGAAAGCAGGGGAUCUUCGGACCUUGCGCGAUUGAAUGAGCCGAUGUCGGCUUAGCUAGUUGGCGGGGUAAAGGCCCACCAAGGCGACGAACCGUAGCUGGUCUGAGAGGAUGAGCAGCCACACUGGAACUGAAACACGGUCCAGACUCCUACGGGAGGCAGCAGUGGGGAAUAUUAGACAAUGGGCGCAAGCCUGAUCCAGCCAUACCGCGUGGGUGAAGAAGGCCUUCGGGUUGUAAAGCCCUUUUGUUGUGAAAGAAAAGCAGCAGGUUAAUACCCCGCUGUUCUGACGGUACCCAAAGAAUAAGCACCGGCUAACUUCGUG
rnacentral:rRNA from 1 species